GACGAACGCUGGCGGCGUGCUUAACACAUGCAAGUCGAACGGAAAGGCCCUGCUUUUGUGGGGUGCUCGAGUGGCGAACGGGUGAGUAACACGUGAGUAACCUGCCCUUGACUUUGGGAUAACUUCAGGAAACUGGGGCUAAUACCGGAUAGGAGCUCCUGCUGCAUGGUGGGGGUUGGAAAGUUUCGGCGGUUGGGGAUGGACUCGCGGCUUAUCAGCUUGUUGGUGGGGUAGUGGCUUACAAAGGCUUUGACGGGUAGCCGGCCGGAGAGGGUGACCGGCGACAUUGUGCGCCAGAGAGGCACCAGGGUGCGAGGGGCGGGAGCAGUGGGGGGGUGUGCACGCGGGGGGGGCGGGUGGUGGCGCGGCGCGGCGGGCGGGGGGGGGGCGUGCGGGUGGUGCACCGCUUUCGUGUGGCCCGAGGGGGGAGUGACGGAAAGGGGAAAAGGAGCACCGGCGAACGACGGGCCAGCUGCCGGGGUGACCCGCGGAAGAGCCCACGUCGCACC
rnacentral:rRNA from 1 species